UACGGAGGAUCCAAGCGUUAUCCGGAAUCAUUGGGUUUAAAGGGUCCGUAGGCGGUUUGGUAAGUCAGUGGUGAAAGCCCAUCGCUCAACGGUGGAACGGCCAUUGAUACUGCCAGACUUGAAUUAUUAGGAAGUAACUAGAAUAUGUAGUGUAGCGGUGAAAUGCUUAGAGAUUACAUGGAAUACCAAUUGCGAAGGCAGGUUACUACUAAUGGAUUGACGCUGAUGGACGAAAAGCGUGGGGUAGUCGA
rnacentral:rRNA from 1 species